rnacentral:rRNA from 1 species
GGACCCGACUGCUAUCAGAGUGGGAAUAAGCCAUGCGAGUCAACAUAGCAAUAUGUGGCAUACGGCUCAGUAACACGUAGUCAACAUGCCCAGGGGACGUGGAUAACCUCGGGAAACUGAGGAUAAACCGCGAUAGGUCAUCACUUUUGGAAUGGGUAAUGACUUAAAUUUAUAUGGCCCCUGGAUUGGACUGCGGCCGAUCAGGCUGUUGGUGAGGUAAUGGCCCCCCAAACCUGUAACCGGUACGGGCUUUGAGAGGAGGAGCCCGGAGAUGGGCACUGAGACAAGGGCCCAGGCCCUAUGGGGCGCAGCAGGCGCGAAACCUUUGCAAUAGGCGAAAGCUUGACAGGGUUACUUUGAGUGAUUUCCGUUAAGGAGAUCUUUUGGCACCUCUAAAAAUGGUGCAGAAUAAGGGGUGGGCAAGUUUGGUGU